AUUGUCAAUGCUCUCCAAGCGUGUACUGUCCCUUCAAACAUCUAAUUCCCUGAGCUAAACAAGGCAGUUGAGUCUUAACCGUGAUACGGAAAUCAAAGAGGAAAAAGGGGGAGAAAUCUUCCAUCUGCACCACAUACUUCUCUAUUGAAUUUUAACUGGAUUAUUGAGAAAAAGCAAAAAAAGCAAGUAUGACAUGUGAAACUUAGCACGGGUGAUUGGGUAGAAAGAUUUCACUGGUCAUUCUAACUGCACGGAAGCAUGGCUCGGAUGAUCUUCUGGUUAUGCUACAUUAAUUUUAGGGCAAGUACAGGUCUUGGAGAAUAUACAGUUUAUGAUAAUAUUUACUCUGAAAAUAUAACACGCAUCUUGGAUAGGCUACUAGAUGGAUAUGACAACAGACUCCGUCCUGGAUUUGGAGGUCCUGUAACUGAGGUCAAAACUGAUAUCUACGUAACUAGCUUUGGUCCAGUUUCAGAUGUUGAAAUGG